AUGUGAACCACGAAAACCCUCACUCGCGGCGGGCCGCACGCGCGCCGAAUCCGGAGGGUCACCAAGAACCUGCGCACCAUGUUCUCGCCGCCUCCACUGCCGAGCUCGGCAGCCGCUGCGCCGCCCUUUGGCACCAGAGAUUUGGAAAACAAGCGAAAUUAAACGAAACCGCUGCAUGCCUCCGACGCGACAUCUGGACACGGCGUGGCGCUGGCGCUGCGGGAGCUGCGGGCCCGGCCUGGCGCCGGACUAGG